GUCCACGCUGUAAACGAUGGGCACUAGGCGUCGGGGGGAGCGACCCUCCCGGUGCCGUCGCUAACGCAAUAAGUGCCCCGCCUGGGGAGUACGGCCGCAAGGUUGAAACUCAAAGGAAUUGACGGGGGCCCGCACAAGCGGUGGAGCAUGUGGUUUAAUUCGAUGCAACGCGAAGAACCUUACCUGGGCUUGACAUGCACGGGAAAGCUCGUGGAAACACGGGCCCUCCUUCGGGACUCGUGCACAGGUGCUGCAUGGCUGUCGU
rnacentral:rRNA from 1 species